GAUGAACGCUGGCGGCGUGCCUAAUACAUGCAAGUCGAGCGAACGGACGAGAAGCUUGCUUCUCUGAUGUUAGCGGCGGACGGGUGAGUAACACGUGGAUAACCUACCUAUAAGACUGGGAUAACUUCGGGAAACCGGAGCUAAUACCGGAUAAUAUUUUGAACCGCAUGGUUCAAUAGUGAAAGACGGUCUUGCUGUCACUUAUAGAUGGAUCCGCGCUGCAUUAGCUAGUUGGUAAGGUAACGGCUUACCAAGGCAACGAUGCAUAGCCGACCUGAGAGGGUGGUCGGCCACACUGGAGCUGAGACACGGUCCAGAGUCCUACGGGAGGCAGCAGUAGGGAAUCUUCCGCAAUGGGCGAAAGCCUGACGGAGCAACGCCGCGUGAGUGAUGAAGGUCUUCGGAUCGUAAAACUCUGUUAUUAGGGAAGAACAUAUGUGUAAGUAACUGUGCACAUCUUGACGGUACCUAAUCAGAAAGCCACGGCUAACUACGUG
rnacentral:rRNA from 1 species